rnacentral:rRNA from 1 species
UACGGAAGGGGCAAGCGUUGUUCGGAAUUACUGGGCGUAAAGGGCGCGUAGGCGGCCUUCUAAGUCGAACGUGAAAUCCCCGGGCUCAACCCGGGAACUGCGUCCGAUACUGGAAGGCUUGAAUCCGGGAGAGGGAUGCGGAAUUCCAGGUGUAGCGGUGAAAUGCGUAGAUAUCUGGAGGAACACCGGUGGCGAAGGCGGCAUCCUGGACCGGCAUUGACGCUGAGGCGCGAAAGCCAGGGGAGCAAACGGG